rnacentral:rRNA from 1 species
ACUCGAGUGGCGAACGGGUGAGUAACACGUGGGUGAUCUGCCCUGCACUCUGGGAUAAGCCUGGGAAACUGGGUCUAAUACCGGAUAGGACCAUGCUUUAGUGUGUGUGGUGGAAAGUUUUUCGGUGUAGGAUGAGCCCGCGGCCUAUCAGCUUGUUGGUGGGGUAAUGGCCUACCAAGGCGGCGACGGGUAGCCGGGCUGAGAGGUUGGUCGGCCACAUUGGGACUGAGAUACGGCCCAG